CAUUGCAUUCUGCGCCUCUGGACUGGUUGAUAAUACAGUAAUACUAUUGCCACUGCUUGCUGCUUCUGCUUGUCAUCAUCAUCUUUGGAUCCAGGUCUCUCUCUGUCUUUGUUUCUUUUCUGUAAGAAUCUCCUCUUAUAUCACAUAUUUAAUGCAGAAUAAGAUUUUUAAUGAUAGGUUCAAGUUUUAUAGCAUAGCCAAUUUUUUUUUUUUUUUUUUUUUGUUUUGCUCCAUUGCAAUAUCAUUCUAUGGUGAUUUAUGCAAGUAAUAUGAUGUUUAUUUCUACUUGUUGGUAGUUCUUGUUAUCUUAAUGUUUCAUUCGGAAAUUUAACGUAAUGAUUAAGUCGAUAAAUUUAAUGGUGUGUACUGUUAAAUAUGAAAAGGGGUCUUCUUAAAUACAACCAAAGAUUAACACAAAAAAUAAAAGAAAAUCGAUAAUUCACCUUCCCAUCAACCAGAAAUGCAUUAUACAUUCCCAGAAAACAUUCAAACAUCUAUUAAUGACAACUACCAUAGUACCAAAAUUACGCUGAAGGGCUAAUAUCAAGUUUCAAGUUGUAAAUUAGAAAAACAUUAAUACUCACCGGGGAAAAUUCAUUGACCUUACCAUUUUCAUCUCCAAACUAUAAUGUCGAGAAGCACCUGAUCAAAUAGCUGAGAGUUCCACCUGUUCAGAUGCUGAGGUCAUAAUUUCUUCAUUGCUUUCUUGGACAAAAGUAUGUCUCUUGAAACCUCUCAAACGUUCAAGCUCUGCCGCCACUUCUUUCAUCGAGGGCCUUUCCUCACCCUUCAAAUUGACACAUCUAUUUGCAACUUCAGCAACUACUUGCACUUGUUCUGCAUUCCCUUCAUUAAGUAUUCCAACUUCAACAAGUUCAAAUAGAUGGUUUUGUUUCAUUGAAACAGUAAAAUACUCUACCAGGUUUCUUUGCGCUUCAGCUCUUUCAAAUGAAAUGGGUUUCUCUCCUGUUAGCAGUUCUACAAGAACCACACCAAAACUAUAAACAUCGCUUUUUUCGGUUAGUUGGCUGGUACGAAGAUACUCUGGAUCCAGAUAUCCAAAAAUCCCCUGGACUAAUGUGUUUAUAUGAGUUUGAUUCAAUGGAGUCAACCUCGAUAAUCCAAAAUCAGCAACUUUUGCUGUGUAGUUUUCGUCUAACAAAAUGUUUGCAGACUUCACAUCUCUAUGAAUGAUUGGUAUGGAGUGUGCCGAGUGUAGAUAUGAAAGUGCUCCUGCAAUUUCUGCCGCAAUUCUCAAACGAUCUUCCCAACAAAGGGAAGACAUGGCCCCACUCCUUUUUUUCUAAAUGAUGGGAGAAAGUCUCGUUAGACACGAAUUCAUAAACAAGUAAGGGUAGUUCUGUUUCUAAACAACAUCCUAGAAGUUUCACAAUGUUCCGGUGGCUGAUCUGGGUAAGAAUAAUGAACUCGUUGAUAAACUGCCCAAGUUGGCUUCCAUCAAUUGUUUUGGACUUUUUUAUGGCAGCUGUCAUUAGGUCAGGUAAGAUUCCUUUAUAUACUGUACCAAAGCCUCCCUGCCCAAGGAUUUGAUGUUGAUCAUAGUUGUUUGUUGCCAAUUUUAGCUCUUUUGUUGUAAAGAUCUUUGUCGAUUCUGCACCACCUUUUAGUGAAGAAAUCUGCUGUUUUAACAGCAAACCACCAUUUGCUGAAAGAGUUUUUCUUUGAGUUUCAUGAGCUUCCUUUUUUUGGUGGUAAAGUAUAACCAAGAACUACCAACAAGUAGAAACACGGACCCAAACCCAAAACCUGUUUUAAGAUUUAAGUAUAUUGGUGUGUAAGAGAAUGAAGGGACUGAUAACUGUUGUGAUGAUGUAAUAGACAAAGAUGCAAAGUGUACAGAGAGAGACAGAGAACUAAGGUUAUUCCAUUAACAAAGCUUAACCUAAACGUCCAAGUUACAUUUCAUUUAUAUACGAUGCAUAAACCUAAUACUAUUACUCGUGUACCUUUACACAUUACUCAAAUAACUAUAUAUAGUUUAAUUAACACAAAUAUAAUGUAGUCUACGAAAAUCAGAUGUAUCUGUUACCUAGUAAAAUAAUUCCAAUGACAGUUAAUAUAUGCUUUGGAGACUAUAAACCCAUCUAUUUUUGCAAACAUCUGUGAGGUGGACAUUGGUGGAUUAGAUGGAAUUUCUGAUUCAAAGUCUAGAGCUAUAGAAGUGUUAAAGCGUGGCAUUGAUUUUCCUCUGGAAACAAAGUAUAGAGGUAUAGAGUUUUAAAGCUUGACAUUGGUUACUAAGUUUUAUAAAAGGCUCGCAGUUUGGAAAAGGAAAAUGAUGUUUAAGGAGGGGCGUUAUUGUAGCAAAAGUUGGCCUAAAUCUGUGAUUGAGUACUUUGGUGGUGAUGAUCCGCUUUGUCUGCACUCAUUGCAGGGAAAUACUCACUAAGAAAACUGAUUUUAUGGAAGCUAUAUGUCACGCAAUCAGGAAUGAACUUGAAAUUAGGUUUUGAUUGGAUCUAUGGAAAAAAGAAAAGCCUUUUAUUCAACAUUUAAUACGAAGCUCUACUUAGUAACUAGAAAUAAAGAGAACACUGUGGCAAACCAUUACUUCCUUCACACCAACACAAACUCUUGGGACUUACUGUUAAGAUGUGUGGGGAGUGAAAAAGGGAAUGGGAACGCCUGCACACUCUUAAACCAUUCUCUCCCAUAAGCAGGAUAUGGAGAAUGACCUGCUCCUUAUUAUUAACUGCUCUAAAAGAAGCUACGCACACUCCGAAGACUACAGCCCAGUUCCCUGAUCAACAAUUGUAGUUGAAACCCCUCCCCACCAAGAUUCGGUUCUUUCUUUGGAGCUGCAGCAGAGAACUUUGACUAUUGUGUUAACUUAUGAAAAGGUUAGUGAAAUUCCUUACAUGCUUCCUCCUUUGUCAAAGGAAUGCUUAAGUUACUCCCAACCUUCUUGUGACCUGCCCAGAAAUGUUGAUGGUGUCCUACACAAGAUGUGCGUACUGGCCCAAGAUUUUUUUUUUAUCAAGUUUUAUAUGGCCAAGUUCGUCCUUAGAGACAAAAUAUGAUGACUUAUGCUUCAGAAGAUGCAAAACAUGCAUACACAGAGAUACAAUGUGCUUACCUAAAGUGAGCUGAAGCAAUGGAAUUCUUUCAUUUUUCCGAGUGCAACCCGUCCCUUGUUUUGUCCCAUCGCCAAAUGAGCCAUGUGGGCAAGAGCAGGUAUAACUUCCUUCAGUAUUAGUGCAUAUGCCUUUACAAGGAUUGUGUUGAUCAGCGCACUCAUUUUUAUCUAAAUAAACAUUAUUGAAACAAAAAAGCUUCAAUUUGUACGUACACAAGUAUUGCAGAACCAUUGUAAAAAGAAUUUUGUAAUAAUCGAGGACUUAUAUCAAAAAUACUAGGAACAUAAUUAAGCAUUACCUUUGCCAAUUUAAGCAUUCAUUCAGAUGCAAUUUGUACUACCAUUAAAUUGUUGAUCCUAUGAGUUUGACCAUAAAUUUCUAAUUUAUUGCUUAAAUUAUUUUCAUAAUCUUUAUGGAAUGAAGCUCGUGCAGAUGAAUGAACGCAAUAAGCCAUGCCAUAUCUACAUCACUUUUUGAGAUGUAUGAAGUUUUUGUUUCUUGGAAUGCACUGAAAUUCCUAUUUUUCUCUACAUACGCAGGGCAAUUGAGGCACACUAUAUAUCAUGGCAAAGGUUAACAUGAUAUUUGGAUGAUCAAUAUCUUAGGUGAUAUGUUAUUUUGAGUAUUGAGACAUCUGUCAUGGCACAGGUAUGCAAGGUAAGUAGUCUCGACGAGAUAAACCUAUUCUUAGAUAACCUUCCUUCUCUAAUAGUAGACACUUCAAUAUAUAUAUUUAGGAUGCUAGACGGCAAGACAUUACAGGACCACACAAGAUUGAGAAACGAAUUCAUGUACCAAUAGUUUGUUUCAUAAGACAAAAGAGAAAAGGUCUAAAGUAUCCAACACCAGUGCCUUUAGGACGUGUACAGGAAUCUUAUCAUAGAGCGUGGAACUGUGAGUCUAAAGCUAGUGCUGCUCUUAAAAUGUUGGUGUACAUACUAUUUCUUAACAGGACUAUAACUUGCAGACAACUUGCUAGUUGCAAGUUCUGAAAAUCUAUACCCAAAGUUACAGCAACAAUUUUACCCCUCAAAACUUAAAUGUGGAUAGUGCUUGCUUUGUUACAAUUUAUAAGCAUAAUUGCUUAGUAACUUCAAAAACACGAGAACAAAAGUGGUGCCGAAAAUUGUACCUUCUAAAUUACUUAACAAAAGCGCUUAUAAUAUGAAUAAUGGAAGUGUUUAUAUUAAGAAAGGGCAAUCAUUUAGCUAGCACCAAAACAAAAGGUUACUUUUGAUUAUAAACAAGCAUCUUUGGUUUGUCACAAAGCGCGCAGGACUGUGAAUGCAGACGAAUUGUGCCAAGUGAGGAACAUGUAUUGUAUAUACAGAAAUUAUUUAAGUUCCUGUGUUAAUUAAGAAGUAAAUAGUUCACAUUUCAUACCUUGACAACCAAGGUAAGGGUUUCCUUCAUAACCAUUACUGCAAUUGCAAAGAUAUCCAUUACUAUCAGCUGAAUAAUAACAGUUGCUAUGUUCCUUGCAGGCAAAUGUUUUGGGGUCUCGUUGUGCAUCUUUGCAUGUCUGAUUUGCUACUACCCAAUUAACCACCAACGGAAUAUUUGGAAGGGAACUAAUAUUAUCUAAGUGUGAUACAUUGAACGAACGAGUACUUUGUCCUCCUCAGCCAGGAACGCAGAGUUGCAUGCCCGAGAGGAUUGGAUGUCAGAGUAAUUGGGUAAAACAUGAAUUUCUUCUAUAAUGAAAGACUUCAAAUCUUGAGGGAUUGGAGACUGGCAACAACCAAUGCCAAAACAUGACCCUUCAGUCAUGUUUUGUCCACAAGUCGAUACACAGGAUGUCACGUAGUGAGAGCUAUUAUAAUCCUUCUUGGGUCGCACGAGGAAGUCGCAACCAAUGACAGUGAACUGGUUUUUUGUAGAAAGUGUGAAUGGUGUGUCUUCCAAAUCGAAACCAACGGAAGUAUCAUUUGGAACUAUACGCCAUUCAGUAUUACAAGUGGAAAGUACAAUGGUCUUUACACGAAAUUCAGCAUCUGAUAUUUCUAAAAGUUUGAAAUCUCCCAUUAUAGGUUUGGGUGGGUAGAAUGUGUUGUUGCAGGUAACAUUGGCCCAUUCAUUUAGGGAACACUUGUCUCCUACACCAAAUGGAUAACGAAUGGUUACAUUCCCGCAAUUUGGUUUGCACCCAGGCUUUGCAUGAGUACCACUUAAUUUUCCAGCCUCUGCAAGCAUGUGCCAUUGGAGUAAGAAAAGAAAUAAGAAGACCUCUACUGCAGCCAUUGAAGUUGAUUGUUGUUGUUUGUGGUGCAUAGAUAUUGUUGUUGAGCCUUUGAAUUUAAAGAGAUGACAGGCAGAGAUGAUCAACUGGAUGAAUCAAGCGGGAGUAGAGACCUUUUUGUCCCAUUUUUCUGUACAUCUGCCGUAAACCAUUGUGAUGAGCCUUAGACAUCAGCUUUUGGCUUUCCUUUAGAAGAAAGCCGACCUCCUGGAUGUCAGGGAAGUCUGACAGAGAGUUGUGUAUUCUUUUCUAGUCUGUGGUCACCAAAGGUGCAGUUGGAACUUGGAAGGAAGGGGAAUGUUGUUGAUAAGAAUUGUUUCCAUUUGUGAUCAGGUGUAUAAAAGGGCGUGGUCAUGUUGCAUUAUUAUUUCUUGGUCUAUAUAAGACUUGCGACAUAAUUUUGGGCCUGGGGCUUGUGGCAGACAAAAGGGAAAGAUUAUAUUUUUGUAUGAUCAGGUCCUACAGCAAUAAUUACUAAAACAAUACAGGACCUUUUGACUUAACCCCUCUUAUUUUGUCCACGUUUUGAAUAACCACCCCCCUCUCCC
rnacentral:lncRNA from 1 species